AGUCCGAUCACACCCGAACAGAACCGAAAAGGUACGAUCGAUAUGCAUUGUGGGAAAAAAUACUUCCGAAUGUUCCCGAAGCCAUUUUGCCGCCGAUUCUUCUGCUGGAUGGACGUUUUGCAGUUUUGUGAGGCAAAAUCGUGAUUUUUCUUCUCAAAGGAGCUGGAUUUCAACGUGACUUUGUUUCAUCAGGCUACAUAGGUAUUCGGAGUUUUCCCGCCAUUUGUAAAGUGCAGACGACAGUGUAAAGAUGGCGUCUGUCAGCGAUAGCUCGUCACUGACGUCGGGAUCAGACGACGAAAACAACGACAAGCAGGCGGCCAGCACUAGUGCCAGUUCAAACCCAUUUGCAAACAUGAUAGACCCAGACUUUGACAUGAGCAAAGUCCCAGAGACUGAAGACAUCCGCAUUAAAGGUGUAAAAUUG